UACGUAGGGGGCUAGCGUUGUCCGGAAUUACUGGGUGUAAAGGGCGUGUAGGCGGGUUAUUAAGUCAGAUGUGAAAUACCGAGGCUCAACUUCGGGGCUGCAUCUGAAACUAAUAAUCUUGAGUGCAGGAGAGGAAAGCGGAAUUCCAAGUGUAGCGGUGAAAUGCGUAGAUAUUUGGAGGAACACCAGUGGCGAAGGCGGCUUUCUGGACUGUAACUGACGCUGAGGCGCGAAAGCGUGGGGAGCAAACAGG
rnacentral:rRNA from 1 species